rnacentral:ncRNA from 2 species
CUACAGUGGCGCGGUUCAGGUGUCCCGCCGGCGUACAAGCCAAGGGAUGAAACGGGAAGCCGGUGCGUGGUGUGCGAUCACACUGCAAGGCCGGCGCUGCCCCCGCAACGGUAAGCGAGAUCCACGAGCGGCGAAUGCCACUGUGCAAGGCACGGGAAGGCGUCGUUCGGGGCAUGCGCAUCACGGCAUGCCGCUCGCCAGCCCGGAGACCGGCCCGAACGAUUCCUGGUGG